GAUGAACGCUGGCGGCGUGCCUAAUACAUGCAAGUCGAGCGAACGGACGAGAAGCUUGCUUCUCUGAUGUUAGCGGCGGACGGGUGAGUAACACGUGGAUAACCUACCUAUAAGACUGGGAUAACUUCGGGAAACCGAAGCUAAUACCGGAUAAUAUUUUGAACCGCAUGGUUCAAAAGUAAAAGACGGUCUUGCUGUCACUUAUAGAUGGAUCCGCGCUGCAUUAGCUAGUUGGUAAGGUAACGGCUUACCAAGGCAACGAUGCAUAGCCGACCUGAGAGGGUGAUCGGCCACACUGGAACUGAGACACGGUCCAGACUCCUACGGGAGGCAGCAGUAGGGAAUCUUCCGCAAUGGGCGAAAGCCUGACGGAGCAACGCCGCGUGAGUGAUGAAGGUCUUCGGAUCGUAAAACUCUGUUAUUAGGGAAGAACAUAUGUGUAAGUAACUGUGCACAUCUUGACGGUACCUAAUCAGAAAGCCACGGCUAACUACG
rnacentral:rRNA from 1 species